AACGAACGCUGGCGGCAUGCCUAACACAUGCAAGUCGAACGAGAUCUUCGGGUCUAGUGGCGCACGGGUGCGUAACGCGUGGGAAUCUGCCCUUUGGUUCGGAAUAACAGUUGGAAACGACUGCUAAUACCGGAUGAUGACGAAAGUCCAAAGAUUUAUCGCCAGAGGAUGAGCCCGCGUAGGAUUAGCUGGUUGGUGUGGUAAAGGCGCACCAAGGCGACGAUCCUUCGCCGGUCUGAGAGGAUGAUCAGCCACACUGGGACUGAGACACGGCCCAGACUCCUACGGGAGGCAGCAGUGGGGAAUAUUGGACAAUGGGCGAAAGCCUGAUCCAGCAAUGCCGCGUGAGUGAUGAAGGCCUUAGGGUUGUAAAGCUCUUUUACCCGGGAUGAUAAUGACAGUACCGGGAGAAUAAGCUCCGGCUAACUCCGUGCCAGCCGCCGCCGUAA
rnacentral:rRNA from 1 species